UGAUGGGGGUGGAGGGGCGGGGGCUGGUGGGGAAAAUGGGGGAUGGGCAUGGAGGAGGACACUUGUUGGGAAGAGCCCUGGGCAUUGUAUGUAAGCGAUGAAUCACGAGAACAUACCCCCAAACCAAGAGCACACUGUAUACCUGAGCCGAAGUCCGACGCUUAACCGAAUGAGCCACCAGGCACCCCCACGGCACCCUUACUGAAAACCAAUUGAAUAGUCUCAAACAGGGACUCUUUUGAGUUCCCCAGAUGUGCCCUGAACAGUGAAGAAAGACACAUUACCAUCACUUCCCUCAUCUAGAUAUCCUACCCCUAUUAACGUGACACGACACGGCACCAGCUUUUCCCCAGCUACAUACGCAAGCAACACUCUGAUAAACGGUGGGAAACUGUUGCAUUCUGAGGUCGGGAUUCCUACUGUCGAAAUGAAGGGAAAUAACAGACCUACGAGAUGAGCAGCGGUUGUGACAAACGCCGUAUUCAUCAGGAGAACAGGUUCCGCGACCUCUUGAGAAAAAUGAGCAGGCUGAACUGGACCUGGGACGGCAAGUAGGUUGAACGUGCACGCGGUCGGUAGAAGCUGCUUAGACUGAUGUUGAAGUCUCCGCAGGAAAAGAAGGCUAGGACACAGCGUGCUGUCUGCCACGGGCUCCGUCCUGGCUCUGCCAUGCACCGACAUGGACCCGACCAGGGACUAAGGCUCUUUCCAGCACUAUGAAUUCCACGAUUCUGGACUCAACUGACCCGUGGCUGGAUGCCACCUAAAGGCUUCUCUCCCUAGCUGGGCUGGCUCGGCCCCAGCAGACAGCCUGCGAGAAGGCAGGCGGCCAGCCCAGCUUCUCUGUGGCCUCCUUCCUGCCAGAUGCUUUUCCUCGACGUGUAGAAGCUGAGCCACAGCUGCUGCCGGAUUCUACCUCUGGCCCAGUGUUUGGUGCACACGGGACCAAAAACGCGGCUCCGGGCUGACCACGGGGAUGGAAGAGACGGGGCCAGUUUCAGAGUCAGAAUGUCUUAAGCCUGUAACGUGCACAACCCACGGCCCGGUUUCACAGGCUAAAUAAAUGCCUGAGGCCCUGGUGGGUUCCCACCAACGCCUGGGGGCUCCGAGGACGGUGUUUGGAAAAUCGUGUUGUGAGAAAGUUCCCUGGCUUUCUCUCCACCCAGAAACCGAAAGGCCUUCUGCGAGGCGGUGGGACA